rnacentral:rRNA from 1 species
AUUGAACGCUGGCGGCAUGCCUUACACAUGCAAGUCGAACGGCAGCACGGGUGCUUGCACCUGGUGGCGAGUGGCGAACGGGUGAGUAAUACAUCGGAACGUACCUUAUCGUGGGGGAUAACGCAGCGAAAGCUGUGCUAACACCGCAUACGGCCUGAGGGGGAAAGCGGGGGAGCGAAAGACCUCGCGCGACUAGAGCGGCCGAUGCCUGAUUAGCUUGUUGGUGGGGUAAAAGCCCACAAAGGCGACGAUCAGUAGCUGGUCUGAGAGGACGAUCAGCCACACUGGGACUGAGACACGGCCCAGACUCCUACGGGAGGCAGCAGUGGGGAAUUUUGGACAAUGGGGGCAACCCUGAUCCAGCAAUGCCGCGGGAGUGAAGAAGGCCUUCGGGUUGUAAAGCUCUUUUGUCAGGGAAGAAACACCGGCUCUAACACAGUCCGGGAAUGACGGUACCUGAAGAAUAAGCACCGGCUAACUACGUGCCAGCCGCCGCAGUAA